rnacentral:tRNA from 1 species
GGGGUUGUGGCUCAGUGGUAGAGUGCUCACCUAGCAUGUGUGAGGCCCUGGGUUCCAUUCUCAGCACCACA